rnacentral:rRNA from 1 species
CGUUCGCGCUUCCGCCGGCGACCGGCGCACGGGUGAGUAACACGUAUGGAACCUGCCCGCAGCAGGGGGAUAAUCGGGGGAAACCCCGUCUAAUACCGCGUAACGACCCGGAGGGGCAUCCCUUCGGGUCCAAAGGUUUACCGGCUGCGGAUGGCCAUGCGUCGCAUUAGCUGGUUGGCGGGGUAACGGCCCACCAAGGCGACGAUGCGUAGGGGUUCUGAGAGGAAGGUCCCCCACACUGGUACUGAGACACGGACCAGACUCCUACGGAAGGCAGCAG